UCUGUCUGUUUCCGUCGUUCAGUGUCAGAUCUACAUUGAUCCCGGUGUCUCGCGUCCUUUGUUCCUCGCGCAUCUUUGGAUUUAUAUGUCUGUUUGAACUGCUCACCUGGUUUGCUGAUCCCUGCCUGCCUGACUUCCCCUACAGUAAGGUCAAACCAGAACAACCAAAGCAGAGCUGAAUGCAACAAAGACGUCUGGGGACCGAACCAGAACACUUGCCUAACAUACUGACCUGGUAGAAUUAGAGAUGUGUGUGUCCUCCUGUGAGGGAAAGCCUACAAGACUCGCUCUGUGCGCAUGUGUGUGUUUGUGACAUCAAUAACCGUGAUGGGGAAGAGAGCCGAAGACAAAUAGUGCCUGGAGUCCGGCUUUAAGUGACUCCUGUGUUUCAACAACACACACCACGAGAGUCCUUGGGAGGCUGUGUAUUAAUCCAACAGAUUUAUGACUAAAUCUGUUACGGAUGGGACGAGAACACCCUCUGCUUUUCCUUUAGCCAUUCCUGAGAGAAAUACACACCACCCAGAGCACACAUCCUAAAUGUGUGCGUAUACACAGCUUUUAA